GACAGAGGCCUCGAGCGUUAGGCGGAAUCACUGGGCUUAAAGCGUGUGUAGGCGGGCCCGUAAGUGUCUUGUGAAAUCCCACGGCUCAACCGUGGAACUGCUGGGCAUACUGCGGGUCUUGGGCCAACUAGGGGCAGCCGGAACAAGCGGUGGAGCGGUGAAAUGCGUAGAUAUCAGGAGGAACACCGAUGGCGAAGGCAGGUCUCUGGGCCACUACUGACGCUGAGAAGCGAAAGCAUGGGGAGCGAACAGG
rnacentral:rRNA from 1 species